rnacentral:rRNA from 1 species
UACGGGGGGGGCAAGCGUUGUUCGGAAUUACUGGGCGUAAAGGGCUCGUAGGUGGCCAACUAAGUCAUACGUGAAAUCCCUCGGCUUAACCGGGGAACUGCGUCUGAUACUGGAUGGCUUGAGAUUGGGAGAGAGAUGCGGAAUUCCAGGUGUAGCGGUGAAAUGCGUAGAUAUCUGGAGGAACACCGGUGGCGAAGGCGGCAUCCUGGACCAACACUGACACUGAGGAGCGAAAGCCAGGGGAGCAAACGGG